rnacentral:rRNA from 1 species
GGGGGAGGCUUAAUGNNCAGUCGACGAAGCGCUACCGACGGAACUUUUCGGAGGGAAGAUGGUAAUGACUGAGUGGCGGACGGGUGAGUAACGCGUGGGUAACCUGCCUCACAGAGGGGGACAACAGCCGGAAACGGCUGCUAAUACCGCAUAACAAGGGAUUGCCGCAUGACGAUCCUUUCAAAGAUUUAUCGCUGUGAGAUGGACCCGCGUCUGAUUAGCUUGUUGGUGGGGUAACGGCCUACCAAGGCGACGAUCAGUAGCCGGCUUGAGAGAGUGAACGGCCACAUUGGGACUGAGACACGGCCCAGACCCCUACGGGAGGCAGCAGUGGGGAAUAUUGCACAAUGGGGGAAACCCUGAUGCAGCGACGCCGCGUGAGUGAAGAAGUAUUUCGGUAUGUAAAGCUCUAUCAGCAGGGAAGAUAAUGACGGUACCUGACUAAGAAGCCCCGGCUAACUACGUGCCAGCAGCCGCGGUAAUACGUAGGGGGCAAGCGUUAUCCGGAUUUACUGGGUGUAAAGGGAGCGUAGGUGGCAGGGCAAGUCAGAUGUGAAAACCCGGGGCUCAACUCCGGGAUUGCAUUUGAAACUGUCCGGCUGGAGUGCAGGAGAGGUAAGUGGAAUUCCUAGUGUAGCGGUGAAAUGCAUAGAUAUUAGGAGGAACACCAGUGGCGAAGGCGGCUUACUGGACUGUAACUGACACUGAGGCUCGAAAGCGUGGGGAGCAAACAGGAUUAGAUACCCUGGU